AACGAACGCUGGCGGCGCGUCUUAAGCAUGCAAGUCGAACGGCAAGAGAGGAGCUUGCUUCUCUCCUAGAGUGGCGGACUGGUGAGGAACACGUGGGUAAUCUACCCUUAAGAUGGGGAUAGCUGCUAGAAAUAGCAGAUAAUACCGAAUACACUCAAUAUUUCAUAAGAAGUAUUGAGGAAAGGAAGCUACGGCUUCGCUUGAGGAUGAGCUUGCGUCCCAUUAGCUAGUUGGUGAGGUAAAGGCCCACCAAGGCGACGAUGGGUAUCCGGCCUGAGAGGGUGAACGGACACAUUGGGACUGAGAUACGGCCCAAACUCCUACGGGAGGCAGCAGCUAAGAAUAUUCCGCAAUGGACGAAAGUCUGACGGAGCGACGCCGCGUGGAUGAAGAAGGCUGAAAAGUUGUAAAAUCCUUUUGUUGAUGAAGAAUAAGGGGGAGAGGGAAUGCUUCUCUGAUGACGGUAAUCAGCGAAUAAGCCCCGGCUAAUUACGUGCCAGCAGCCGCGGUAACACGUAAGGGGCGAGCGUUGUUCGGAAUUAUUGGGCGUAAAGGGCAUGUAGGCGGUUAUGUAAGCCUGAUGUGAAAUCCUGGGGCUUAACCCUAGAAUAGCAUUGGGUACUGUAUAACUUGAAUUACGGAAGGGAAGCUGGAAUUCCAAGUGUAGGGGUGGAAUCUGUAGAUAUUUGGAAGAACACCGGUGGCGAAGGCGGGUUUCUGGCCGAUAAUUGACGCUGAGAUGCGAAAGUGUGGGGAUCGAACAGG
rnacentral:rRNA from 1 species